GCUCAGAUUGAACGCUGGCGGGCGUGCUUAAACACAUGCAAGUCGAAACGAUGAAGCCCCAGCUUGCUGGGUGGAUUAGUGGCGAACGGGUGAGUAACACGUGAGUAACCUGCCCUUAACUCUGGGAUAAGCCUGGGAAACUGGGUCUAAUACCGGAUAGGAGCGCCUACCGCAUGGUGGGUGUUGGAAAGAUUUAUCGGUUUUGGAUGGACUCGCGGCCUAUCAGCUUGUUGGUGAGGUAAUGGCUCACCAAGGCGACGACGGGUAGCCGGCCUGAGAGGGUGACCGGCCACACUGGGACUGAGACACGGCCCAGACUCCUACGGGAGGCAGCAGUGGGGAAUAUUGCACAAUGGGCGCAAGCCUGAUGCAGCGACGCCGCGUGAGGGAUGACGGCCUUCGGGUUGUAAACCUCUUUCAGUAGGGAAGAAGCGAAAGUGACGGUACCUGCAGAAGAAGCACCGGCUAACUACGUGCCAGCAGCCGCGGUAAUACGUAGGGUGCGAGCGUUAUCCGGAAUUAUUGGGCGUAAAGAGCUCGUAGGCGGUUUGUCGCGUCUGUCGUGAAAGUCCGGGGCUUAACCCCGGAUCUGCGGUGGGUACGGGCAGACUAGAGUGCAGUAGGGGAGACUGGAAUUCCUGGUGUAGCGGUGGAAUGCGCAGAUAUCAGGAGGAACACCGAUGGCGAAGGCAGGUCUCUGGGCUGUAACUGACGCUGAGGAGCGAAAGCAUGGGGAGCGAACAGGAUUAGAUACCCUGGUAGUCCAUGCCGUAAACGUUGGGCACUAGGUGUGGGGACCAUUCCACGGUUUCCGCGCCGCAGCUAACGCAUUAAGUGCCCCGCCUGGGGAGUACGGCCGCAAGGCUAAAACUCAAAGGAAUUGACGGGGGCCCGCACAAGCGGCGGAGCAUGCGGAUUAAUUCGAUGCAACGCGAAGAACCUUACCAAGGCUUGACAUGUUCUCGAUCGCCGUAGAGAUACGGUUUCCCCUUUGGGGCGGGUUCACAGGUGGUGCAUGGUUGUCGUCAGCUCGUGUUGUGAAAUGU
rnacentral:rRNA from 1 species